rnacentral:tRNA from 1 species
GGCGCAGUGGUGCAGUGGUUAGCACCUCACAGCAAGAUGGUUCCUGAUUCGAAUCCCGGCUUCCUCC